rnacentral:rRNA from 1 species
AUUGAACGCUGGCGGCAGGCCUAACACAUGCAAGUCGAGCGGAGCGGCGGACGGGUGAGUAAUGCCUAGGAAUCUGCCUGGUAGUGGGGGAUAACGUCCGGAAACGGGCGCUAAUACCGCAUACUAUCAGAUGAGCCUAGGUCGGAUUGUCUAGUUGGUGGGGUAAAGGCCUACCAAGGCGACGAUCCGUAACUGGUCUGAGCGGAUGAUCAGUCACACUGGAACUGAGACACGGUCAGGAGUCCUAGGGGAGGCAGACGUGGGGAACAUUGGAAAAUGGGCGAAAGCCUGAUCCAGACAUGCCGGGUGUGUGAAAAAGGUCUUCGGAUUGUAAAGCACUUUAAGUUGGGAGGCGUUACCAACAGAAUAAGCACCGGCUAACUUCGUGCCAGCAGCCGCGGUAAUAC